rnacentral:rRNA from 1 species
UACGAAGGGGGCAAGCGUUGCCCGGAUUUAUUGGGCGUAAAGGGCGCGUAGGCGGUGAGACACGUUCGUUGUGAAAUCGCCCGGCUCAACUGGGCGGGGUCAGCGGAUACGGUCUCACUUGAGCAAGCUAGGGCGCAAUGGAAUUCCCGGUGUAGUGGUGGAAUGCGUAGAUAUCGGGAGGAACACCAGUGGCGAAGGCGGUUGCCUGGGGCUUUGCUGACGCUGAUGCGCGAAAGCGUGGGGAGCGAUGCGG